rnacentral:rRNA from 1 species
GACAGAGGGUGCAAACGUUGUUCGGAAUUACUGGGCGUAAAGCGCGUGUAGGUGGCAAGGCAAGUCGGGUGUGAAAGCCCUGGGCUCACCCAGGAAGUGCACUCGAUACUGCCUCGCUAGAGUCCCGGAGAGGUUGGUGGAACUCUCGGUGUAGAGGUGAAAUUCGUAGAUAUCGAGAAGAACACCGGUGGCGAAGGCGGCCAACUGGACGGUGACUCGACACUGAGACGCGAAAGCGUGGGGAGCAAACAGG